rnacentral:lncRNA from 1 species
AUAAUUUCCAAAGUAUUUAUUUUUCAUUAAUUUCAGACACAUUCAAAUCUUAAUAAUUUCCAAAGUAUUUAUUUUUUCAUUAAUUUCCAAACACAUUCAAAUCUUAAUAAUUUCCACACUGUUUUUACGUAUUAAUUUCCAAACACCAUUUUCAAAGCCUUCCUUAUUUCCUCAUUUAUUUACUAAUUUCUUAAUAGAGACAUACAGACAUACAGACAGAGAGAGAGAGAGAUAGACAGACAGACAGACAUAGAUAGAUAAAUAAAUACAGACAUACAUACAUACAGACAGACUUAAAUAAAUAGACAUACAGACAGACAAACAGACAUAGAUAGACACAGACACACAGACAGACAGACAGACAAAUAGAUAGUUUAAGUAAUGGCCGCUGUGUUAAUGUGUAGUUCAUAUCCCGUUUUCUGUUUAUUCGAGGUGCUGUGAUGCUGUGAGUGGCUGUGAUGGGCGCUCUGUGUUGGCUGGGCUGGGUUAGGAUAGGUUAGGUUAGGUUAAGGAUAGGACAGGUUAGGAUAGGUAGGUUAGGUAGGUUAGACAAGGCUAGGUUAGGUUAAGGAUAGGACAGGUUAGACAAGGCUAGGUUAAGGAUAGGUCAGAUUAGGACAGGUUAGGACAAGGAUAGGACAGGAUAGGACAAUUUAGGAUAGAUUUAGAAAGGCCCGGGAGUUGUAGACACAAACAUUAAUUUCGUACACAAAGAAAAACAAUUUAUUUUUUUCUCACAUGAAAGAAAAAAAAGAAAAAGAAAAAGAAAUUGUCCAUUAAAAAAAAAAUAAUGAAUUAAAAAAAAAAAGACGCCAUUUAUUUCGUAUACAUGUGAAGGAACGAACGGGUUAAUGAAUGUAUAUGUAUGAAGAAUGUGGAGAGGAGGCAGUGUUGUAUACGUGGAAGUGAAUAAUAUACGUGUUGUAUACAUAAGAGGAAAAUAACUUGUAUACAUCAAAGAAAACGGGAAAAUACAUAGAAAAUAAGCCAAACAGGAAAUUAAUCUUUGUAUGUAUGAAAAAAAAAAUCUUGUAUACAUGGAAGGAAAAUGAAUACGUGUUGUAUACAUAGAGGAAAAUAACUUGUAUACAUAAAAAAAACGUGAAAAUACAUAGAAAAUAACCCAAACAGGAAAUUAAUCUUUGUAUGUAUGAAAAAAAAAUUGUAUACAUGGAAGCAAAAUAAAUACGUGUUGUAUACAUAGAGGAAAAUAACUUGUAUACAUAAAAAAAACGUGAAAAUACAUAGAAAAUAACCCAAACAGGAAAUUAAUCUUUGUAUGUAUGAAAACAAAACUAUACAUCAAGAAACGAGAAUAUACAUAAAAAAACGAGAAUAUACAUAAAAACAAGAAUAUACAUAAAAAAAUCGAUAUACAUAAAGAAACCGAGAGAAAUAAACUGUGUAUGCAUUUGAAAAUAAAAAAAAAUAUUAUACACUUAAAAACAAGACGAUUAAAACAAAGAGAAGGAAAUUGAAUGCAGAAAAUAAUAGAAAUAGAAAUAAAAUGUAGAAAUUAGAGAGAUGAGAGAAAUUAAAUGCAGAAAUAGAAAUUAAAAUGUUUAUAGCAGAAAUUAGAGAAAUAAGAGAAAGAAGAGAAAUUGAAUGCAGAUAAUAACAGAAAUAGAAAUAAAAUGUAGAAAUUAGAGAGAGAUGAGAGAAAUUAAAUGCAGAAAUACGAGAAAUUAGAGAAAUAUGAGAAAUUGAAUGCAGAAAUUAGAGAGAAAUUGAAUGCAGAAAUUAGAGAAAAGAGAGAAAUUGAAUGCAGAAAUAACAAAAAAUAACAAAUUGAACGCAGAAAUAACAUAAAUUGGACGCAGAAAUAGAGAAAUAAUUGAACGAAGAAAAUAGAGAAAUGACAGAAUGCAGAAAUAAGAGAAAUUAAACGCAGAAAUAACAUAAAUUGAUCAUGUAUACAUAAAUAGACGAAAUGUAUACCAAAAAAAAAAAGAGGAAAUACGAAUAUGGAGGACAACCUACCAAUACCCCCUAGGACAUUUAAGUGUUAUUAUGCUCAUUGAUUGAUUAUAAUUGAGACUUUUUAGGUUAGGUUAGGUUAGGUAUAAUGAAAUUUGUAGCAUUCACACUUGCGAUUUUUCUUUGGGUGGGGGGGGGAUAUUGGUAGGGGGGGGGUUGUCUGGGGGGAUAUUGUUCUAGAAUCGAGAAAAGUGGAAAAUAAAUAGAAAAUGAUGAAUAAAUGAUAACUAUGUAUUAUUGAAGGAGAGGAAGUAAUUAAUAAGUGAAUAAAUAAUGGUAACAACAUUCAUAGAGCAAACACGAACAUGGGAGGUAGAAAAUAGAAAAUGAAAUAAUAGCUAUGAAUAUAUAUGGAGGAGAAAAAAAAGUAAGAAAAAAAAAGAAAAAUGAUAAUAACAGCAAUUUAUAAACUUCUCCCCAGGGUUAAACAUUCAACAUUCAUGCAUUCAAGUUGCACGCAAAAGUUAGCCCACAUUCACAUUCAUAAAAUAGAUAAAUAGAAAAGAAUAGAAAUAAUAAUAAUAACAGCAAUUUAUAAACUCCUUAGCCUAAACAUUCAACAUUCAUGCAUUCAAGUAGCACGUAAAAUUCACCCCACACACAUUCAUGAAAUAGAUAAAUAGAAAAAAAAUAUAAAAUAAUAGAAAUAAUAAUAAUAACACCAAUUUAUAAAGUCCUCAGGCUAAACAUUCAACAUUCAUGCAUUCAAGUGACACGUAAAAGUUAGCCCACACUCACAUUCAUAAAAGAUAAAUAGAAAAAAAAAUAGAAAAGAAUAGAAAUAAUAAUAAUAACACCAAUUUAUAAACUCCUUAGCCUAAACAUUCAACAUUCAUGCAUUCAAGUGACGCAAAAUUCACCCCACACUAACAUUCAUAAAAGAUAAAUAGAAAAAAAAAAAUAGAAAAAAAUAGAAAUAAUAAUAAUAACAGCAAUUUAUAAACUCCUUAGGCUAAACAUUCAACAUUCAUGCAUUCAAGUGACACGUAAAAGUUAGCCCACACUCACAUUCUUAAAAGAUAAAUAGAAAAAGAAAAUAGAAAAGAAUAGAAAUAAUAAUAAUAACACCAAUUUAUAAACUCCUUAGCCUAAACAUUCAACAUUCAUGCAUUCAAAUGGCACGUAAAAUUCACCCCACACUAACAUUCAUAAAAGAUAAAUAGAAAAAAAAAUAGAAAAAAAUAGAAAUAAUAAUAAUAACAGCAAUUUAUAAACUCCUUAGGCUAAACAUUCAACAUUCAGGCAUUCAAGUGGCUCGCAAAAGUUAGCCGACAUUCACAUUCAUAAAAGAUAAAUAGAAAAGAAAAAAAUAGAAAAGAAUAGAAAUAAUAAUAAUAACACCAAUUUAUAAACUCCUCAGGCUAAACAUUCAACAUUCAGGCAUUCAAGUGACACGAAAAAGUUAGCCGACAUUCACAUUCAUAAAAGAUAAAUAGAAAAAUAAAAUAGAAAAGAAUAGAAAUAAUAAUAAUAACACCAAUUUAUAAACUCCUCAGGCUAAACAUUCAACAUUCAUGCAUUCAAAUGGCACGUAAAAUUCACCCCACACUAACAUUCAUAAAAGAAAAAUAGAAAAAAAUAGAAAUAAUAAUAAUAACACCAAUUUAUAAACUCCUUAGCCUAAACAUUCAACAUUCAUGCAUUCAAGUGGCUCGCAAAAGUUCACCCCACACUAACAUUCAUAAAAGAUAAAUAGAAAAAAAAAAUAGAAAAAAAUAGAAAUAAUAAUAAUAACAGCAAUUUAUAAACUCCUCAGGCUAAACAUUCAACAUUCAUGCAUUCAAAUGGCACGUAAAAUUCACCCCACACUAACAUUCAUAAAAGAUAAAUAGAAAAACAAAAAAUAGAAAAGAAUAGAAAUAAUAAUAAUAACACCAAUUUAUAAACUCCUUAGGCUAAACAUUCAACAUUCAUGCAUUCAAAUGGCACGUAAAAUUCACCCCACACUAACAUUCAUAAAAGAUAAAUAGAAAAAAAAAAUAGAAAAAAAUGUAAAUAAUAUAACAAUUUAUAAACGCUCACAUUAAUUUCCAAACACUUUAUUAUUUUUGAAGUAUAGAAAGUAAGAAAUGAAGAAAGGCUUGACGAAGAGAAAUUUGGCGCGAAAAAAAAAAAUAAAUAAA